rnacentral:lncRNA from 1 species
CAUCUGCCCCAUUAUCCUCCAAAUUAUAUUCCAUAUGCUCACUACUUUUCCCCAUAUUAUGUUCCACCAACAGCCAUCCAUCAAUUCUUAAGCAAUGGUGCAUUUCCCCAGCAACCUCAGGCUGGUGGCGUAUAUCCACCUCCACCAUCCGCUGCUGCUGGUAGAUACUCACAUUCACAAUAUAGGCCAGGAGCUAAUGUGGGAAACUCAACUCACAGUGGAGUGCCCGGCUCAUAUGGGCCAUAUGGAUCCUCCACAGCCAACUAUUGUAUAUCCACCUCCACCAUCCGCUGUUGCUGGCAGAUACUCACUUUCACAAUAUAGGCCAGGAGCUAAUGUGGGAAACUCAACUCACAGUGGAGUACCUGGCUCAUAUGGGCCAUAUGGAUCCUCCACAGCCAACUGUAACCCUAGUUCAACUACAGCAGCUGGUAACCCUGCUUCUAAUGAUGAUCUUUCUGUGGCUCAAUUUA